rnacentral:rRNA from 1 species
GGGUGAAAAGCAGGGGACCGCAAGGCCUUGCGUCGAUGGAGCGGCCGAUGUCCGGAUUAGCUAGUUGGUGGGGUAAAGGCCUACCAAGGCGACGAUCCGUAGCUGGUCUGAGAGGACGACCAGCCCACACUGGGACUGAGACACGGCCCAGACUCCUACGGGAGGCAGCAGUGGGGAAUCUUGGACAAUGGGCGCAAGCCUGAUCCAGCAAUGCCGCGUGUGGGAAGAAGGCCUUCGGGUUGUAAACCACUUUUGGCAGGAAAGAAAUCGUCCGUGCUAAUACCAUGGAUGGAUGACGGUACCUGCAGAAUAAGCACCGGCUAACUACGUG